GAUUUUACGAUAGACUAUAUCCAGCAUGACAAGGCCCGCCUCUCCUGGAUGCGUGGGUACAAUGGAGGAUUGACACAAACAUUCGUUAUACAACUAGGAACAGAUGAGAAAUGGAGUGACGUAGAAGUGUUUGACAGAAAUACAGAAGACAGAGACCGUAUUUCCACAAUCUUGACAGAUCUUUUUGAUUCAACAACAUACUUUGUUAGAUAAUAUGCAUAUAACGAGGAGGGAAAUAGCCCUUUGUCGGAAACUCUAAAUUUUACCACUUCUCCAAUUAAAGUGAAAACGACAGUUGAGACAAACAACACUGCGAUGAUUAUAAUAGGAACAGUUCUUGGAUUAAUCAUAGUUAUCUUGCUGGUAUUUUCAAUAUAUAUGAUAGUACAGAGUAGACGUGAACUGACUCGGAAUAAAGAUUUCUCCAGAAAUACAAGCAGCAGAAGGUAUGUCAAUGUGGAUGGCUCGAAAACUCUUCAAACAAAAGAUGUAAAACUGAAAAACACAUCUCACGAUGUUCAAGCCUCAGAGAGUCAAUAUACAGAACUGGAUAAAGAUCUUAAAGAAGCAGAAUCUGCAUACGAUGCUAUUUCAACUAUGUAAACUUUCGACGUAAAAGUGUCAUUAAGUACACGUCCGUUGCGCGUUUGAGAAAAACGAAAAGUGACUUUAGACCUGUUAAUGUUCAUAAAUUGAAUGUUUCUGAUUUCCAUUGCCUUUAAAACAUAUGUUUUGACAUAAAAAUGGAAAGAAACCCGAACAACAAAGGAAAUAAUAAGCUAAUAUUUUGCAAAGAUUGAAUGAUAUUUCGACGGCUAUUAUUAAGAUGUAUAAUUCAGAUGUCGUGCAUUUUUUGUGAACAUAAAAAACUUUGUAUCAGGCUGCUAUCAAAUUCAUAAAAUUUCUUAAUAUAACUAGAAAUGAAUACAUUGUAUAUGAUUUAAGUAAGCGUUGAUUGAGUUCACGCGUCUUUUCGCGACACGUAUAACAUUACCAUUGCUCUUUUCUUUAGAACUUUUAUUCUUUCUCUUUGAAUAAUCAUGUUUAAAAUAAAAUUGCAUAUUUCUUAUCAUAUGAUUAAAAUGUUUUAUCAUGCAUUAUACUACUUUCCUGCAAAAUAUCUAUAAAACAAGUAAUUAACGUUGCAGACAGCAGUAUAUAAUUAAACCGGGACUGCCUUGUUUGUAAGGAAGAUGUGAUGAUGAAAUCGCUAUUUAAAUGUUGUGCCGCAUGACAACGUUUAUGUUGAUGACGUUAGUGACAUCCCUGUUGUUUGACUGUUUAUAAUGUCAAACAUAGGUUUAACGCUACUAGAAACAAACACAGUUAUUACAAUUUCAAUCGAAUGAUGCUUAGAAUUCGUGGCUUAUGAAUCACAAGAUAUAAUGAUAACAGAUCUUAUGAAAUGAUUAGGAGAAAUAUAUCAGUCUAGAAAACUGUAUGAUGCGCGCAAAUUAUUACAAAAACAUUUUAGUACGUAUUAAAUGUUACAUAAACUUUUCAUUGAAUCUCUCUAGUUUCGCGUACGUGUGUAUUAAGAUCUGCGAAUGCAUUAAAGACUUUUUUUAAACAUGGAGAAUACAGUAAAGACUGUUAUUCAAUAAAACAAAAUCAUUGAUCUCAUAAAAAUUGAUCUGUAAUGAUUUCAUGAAAGCAAACAUGAAGUCCCGUCAGAUCAGCUUUAACAAAAUAUGAUAAAGAUUAUACUUCACAAAGAAAAACAUACGUAAAUGAAAUUAGCUUCAUAACUGACCCUAAAAUAUUUUCCCGAAAAGCAUAUCAACAAAAUCUCAUGAGGCACACUCUCGUAAUUAAAUAAUUGAUGAGGUCAGGUAAAAUAAUAUAAUCACGAGAACAUGAGAAAAUUCAACUAAUAAUUACGCGAUGAUUAACUGUGCAUCUUUCAGUGAUCUUUCAUUUCAAUUACAUUGUAUUUUGGAGAUAUUUUCUUGAUUUCUUUUUUAUAUAAAUAUAACGUUAUUUGAUGUUAUAAAUUAUGCCUUAGGCUAGGUGUUGUC